GAGUUGAAGAGUAUCUGGGAGGUAAGGAAGUGGAGCCUCAAGGGCAGAAAACUUUUGAGAAGUUUGGGUACAAACGGGUAUGGGAAGUGGGAGAUUACAUGCUUGAUGCAAAGCCAAAAGAAAUUUCAGAAAUUCAACGUUUAAAUUAUGAACAGAAUAUGAGUGAUGCCAUGGCAAUUUUGCACAAACUACAGACAGGCCUGGAUGUAAAUGUAAGAUUCACUGGUGUUCGAGUGUUUGAAUAUACACCAGAAUGCAUAGUAUUUGAUCUUCUUGAUAUUCCUUUGUACCAUGGGUGGUUAGUAGAUCCUCAGAUUGAUGACAUUGUAAAAGCUGUUGGUAACUGCAGCUACAACCAACUAGUGGAGAAGAUCAUCUCUUGUAAACAGUCAGACAAUAGUGAGCUGGUUAGUGAAGGCUUUGUAGCUGAGCAGUUUCUAAAUAACACAGCCACUCAACUGAC
rnacentral:sRNA from 1 species